rnacentral:misc_RNA from 1 species
GAAAUGCGAUAAGUAAUGUGAAUUGCAGAAUUCAGUGAAUCAUCGAAUCUUUGAACGCACAUUGCGCCCCGUGGUAUUCCGCGGGGCAUGCCUGUUCGAGCGUCAUUUCAACCCAUCAAGCUUCGGCUUGGAUUUGGGGCCUGCGGUCUCGCAGCCCUUAAACCCAGUGGCGGUGCUAUUGAGCUCUGAGCGUAGUAAUUCUUCUCGCUAUAGAGUCUCGGUGGUGGCUUGCCAACAACCCCCAAUUUUAUCAGGUUGACCUCGGAUCAGGUAGGGAUACCCGCUGAACUUAA